rnacentral:rRNA from 1 species
GAUUCCCCUAGUAGCGGCGAGCGAAGCGGGNAGNGCUCNAAUUUAUAAUCUGGCNNCUUCGGUNNNCGAGUUGUAAUCUCUAGNNGUGUUUUYCGCGUUGGACCGCACACAAGUCUGUNNGNAWACAGCGGCAUAGUGGUGAAACCCCCGUAUAUGGUGCGGACGCCCAGCGCUUUGUGANACACUUUCAAUGAGUCGAGUUGUUUGGGAAYGCAGCUCAAAUUGGGUGGUAAAUUCCAUCUAANGCUAAAUAUUGGCGAGAGACCGAUAGCGAACAAGUACCGUGAGGGNAAGAUGAAAAGCACUUUGGAAAGAGAGUUAACAGUACGUGAAAUUGUUGGAAGGGAAACGCUUGAAGUCAGACNUGCUUNCCGGAGCUUGCUUCGGUUUGCAGGCCAGCAUCRGUUYUCCGGGGUGGAUAAUGACGGUUUGAAGGUAGCAGUCUCGGCUGUGUUAUAGCUUUUCCGUUGGAUACAUCCAGGGGGACUGAGGAACGCAG